UACAGAGGGGGCAAGCGUUGUUCGGAAUUACUGGGCGUAAAGGGCGCGUAGGCGGCCCGCUAAGUCGAACGUGAAAUCCCCGAGCUCAACUCGGGAACUGCGUCCGAUACUGGCGGGCUUGAAUCCGGGAGAGGGAUGCGGAAUUCCAGGUGUAGCGGUGAAAUGCGUAGAUAUCUGGAGGAACACCGGUGGCGAAGGCGGCAUCCUGGACCGGUAUUGACACUGAGGCGCGAAAGCCAGGGGAGCAAACGGG
rnacentral:rRNA from 1 species